rnacentral:rRNA from 1 species
UACGUAGGGGGCAAGCGUUGUCCGGAAUCAUUGGGCGUAAAGCGCGCGUAGGCGGCCCGGUAAGUCCGCUGUAAAAGUCCAGGGCUCAACCCUGGAAAGCCGGUGGAUACUGUCGGGCUAGAGUCCGGAAGAGGCGAGUGGAAUUCCUGGUGUAGCGGUGAAAUGCGUAGAUAUCGGGAAGAACACCAGUGGCGAAGGCGCUCUACUGGGCCACAACUGACGCUGAGGGACGAAAGCUAGGGGAGCGAAAGGG